AUGCUUUCAAUGACUAUGCCGGAGAUGUGAUAGUAUAAAUUACAAAGUAUUUUCUCAUUGUUGAUAACAAAAAAGAUUUUGGGAUAACAAGGUGAUUUAUAAGAAUAAUUUAUUUGAGAGUCUCAAAUAUAGAGAAGCACAUCAAGAACGUUUAGUAAUUUCCUGUGAGUAAGCGAAAAGAGACAAUAAUCUAAAUACUAGAAACUGAAGCUUGUAUCUUCGAAAAAAUGAAGUUUGUAUUGCAUACUCUACAAGCAACAUGCAUAGUGCUUCUUAUUGCUGUGUGUGUGCAGGAGAUAGUUGGCCAAAGAUGCCAAAUGAUUGGACAUUCCUGUCGAGAUACUGGACCUUUCUUUGGAGGGAACGGUCGUUGUGCGAGAAGCAGGCCGUUUUUUAGCUGUAUAAGGAUUGGGAGAAAGUGUCGAUGUCGUUCGUCGAUCAUUCUGAACAUUACCCCACCACCUCAAGUAGUUGGCAUAGUUGGAGAAUCAACUAAUAUAACGGAAGCUAUAAGUGGUUAGGCAGAAGUGUGUACGGCGGGAUGCCGAGAUCGCAAACCACCAGGACACGACCAUGGGCUGUGUGAAAGUACAGGAUUUUUGUAUAGAUGUAUUAGGGUAGGCAGAUACU